rnacentral:rRNA from 1 species
AUUGAACGCUGGCGGCAGGCUUAACACAUGCAAGUCGAGCGAGCGGCGGACGGGUGAGUAAUGUCUGGGAAACUGCCUGAUGGAGGGGGAUAACUACUGGAAACGGUAGCUAAUACCGCAUACCCUCAGAUGUGCCCAGAUGGGAUUGGCUGGUAUGUGGGGUAAUGGCUCACCUGGGCGACGAUCCCUCGCUGGUCUGAGAGGAUGACCGGCCACACGGGAACUGAGCCACGGUCCAGACUCCUACGGGAGGCAGCAGUGGGGAAUAUUGCACAAUGGGGGCAAGCCUGAUGCAGCCAUGCCGGUUGUAUGAAGAAGGCCUUCGGUUUGUAAAGUACUUUCAGCGGGGAGGCGUUACCCGCAGAAGAAGCACCGGCUAACUCCGUGCCAGCAGCCGCGGUAAUAC